GGAUUCGCUAGUAAUCGCGAAUCAGAAUGUCGCGGUGAAUACGUUCCCGGGUCUUGUACACACCGCCCGUCACACCAUGGGAGUCAGUAACGCCCGAAGUCAGUGACCCAACCGGAACCGGAGGGAGCUGCCGAAGGUGGGACCGAUAACUGGGGUGAAGUCGUAACAAGGUAUC
rnacentral:rRNA from 1 species